CCCCAACGAGGUCCAGAGCGUGUUUUCAAGUUGGGUGACGUUUGUCCCACAGCAGCGCCACAGCCUCGGAAGUCAGAUGCGGCCCGCCGCACGCAGCUCGCGAACUGGGGACCGCCCGAGGUGUCCACAAUCUGGCAGCGGCGCAAGAGUGGGCAAGCUAUCAGACCUUCUUGAAGUGGAAACCCUCCCUGCUGCAGGGAAGCCCUCAGGCCGGGGGUGUCUCACCAUUUGCAGAGCUUCCAGCCCGGCCCCCUUACCUGAGCGCCGCCGCCCUGCGCUCCCCGCGGCCCGAGCGAUAGCUGUGCAGAGCCCCCUGGAUGUCCUCUCGGAUCAGCUCCGCCUGUCAAUCACGCCGUCAGGCCACGACCGCAACCCACCCACUGCCCGCCCAGGCGGCUCUCCGGAUCGAUUCCUCAGCUCGGCCCCAGACCACGUCCAGUCGUAGCUCACGCACUGCGCCCACGCACGUCCACGCCCUGAACUCACACCCCGGCUCUUAAACGGUCCCUGCCUUAGGCCCCUCCCCCAGCCACGGAAGCCCCCUCCAGCUGGCGCUUCGCCCCUGACCACACUCACUCCCAUCCUAGUUCUGGCUGCUCCCCCAGACCCUCACUUCCAUGUUCUGUCCACGUUCUGUCCGAGCUCUUAGCUCUUAGCCUCCGUCUCCAUUCGGCCCUCUCGAUCCUUCUCGACCCUACGUUCAAUCUGUUCUCAAAUCCCCCUCCCUCCCAGAAUUCCUUUACAGGUCACGCCCCCUCCGCUGGCCCUGACCCCGCCUUUGCCGUACACCGUGCCCCCCGUCUUAGAGGCCCCGCCCCGUUGGAGGUCCGGCUCCGGACUCCGCCCAGUUUCAGCUCCGGGUCCGGAAUCCGCAGGGUCUCAGUCUGUGGCCCCGACCCCCGCUCGCUCACCCCCAGACGCAGGCCCUGGAAGAAGUGCACGUCGGGCUGCGUGCGCUCGGGCUCCUGGCACACGAGCAGCAGCAGUGAGCAGCUCUGGCCCGGCGGUAUCACCGUGUCGCAACGCACGAUGGCGCUCAGCGGGUAAGACUCCAGCUCCUCCUGUGGGGUGGAGGGUGGGACAGCGGGUAAACUGAGACCCGGAGCCAAGGAUACUCCUAAGUGGUGACAGCAGUGCCAGCAGUGCCAGCACGUACAGGCACUGCGCAGGGCAACCUCCACCCCAAGUUGAGGGGCCAGGGAUAACACCCCUGUUUAAUAGAUGAGGCUAAUGAGGUUCAAAAAGGGGGCGGGGGUCCCUUGCCAAAGUUCCUAGAGGAAGGACGUGCAGGAAUCAAGAUUCACACUCAGAUCCCUGAGGUCCCUAGGGCUCUCCAUGCCUUGGUGGGCUCAGUCCAAGCUGCUCCUUCCACCCGUGUGCCCCGUGGCACCUUGGAGACUGGGUCCAGCAGCGCAACGUGUUUGGGAGACACGCGCAGCAGCAUGUCCUGGGCCCAGACGCGGCCUUGGCUGUCCAUGAGGGCCAGCUUCCGCGAGGCGUCCUCCACCGUGUGCACGCCAUCCUCCUCACCCAGGCAGAAGGUCACCAGGUGCUGGAGAAAGCAGUGAGUCCCAGGAUGAAGCCAGGUGGGCUGAGAAGCCCCUGGAAUCAGCCUUAUAGCCGGCGACUACGCACACCUCCUCUGGGAAGCCUUCUCUGAUCACCUGCGCCACCUCCUCCCAGUGCCCUUUGUGUGUCUUCCCUGGGUCUAGCUCUCCAGCUAGACCCCUUGAAGGCAGAGAAUGGUCUGGAUUAUAUCUAGUUCCUUCUAAGCAGCUCUACCUCCGUUAGAGCACCUGGCAAUUUUGCUGGUACCUCUGGACCUUGUCUGACCCCUACUCAUCCAGGAUUGCAUCUGAUUUGUCCCUGUGGUCCAACUAUCCAGCACAGGAGCUGGUCCAGAGGAAAAGUUGGCAGAUUCAAGUGGAAUUGAGUUCCUCCACUGAAUACCCACAUCUGAGGCAAGGCAGAAGAGCAAACUGAGUUUCCCAAGUUCUUGCUGCUUGGAGGUCCAACUGCUUUCAACUCCCCCAUCUCCUCAGGCCUGCCUUGCCUCCUGCAAGACUCCCCGUGGCAACACAGACCCCAGACUCACAUUGACUGGAUAUUGGGAAACAUCGGCCAUAACCUCGGUGGAGUAACGCUUCCUCUGUUCUGUGGGGGAAGAAGGAGAAUGGCUGCAGGAGACCCAGCUCCCAGCCCCUUCCCCCUCAGACUCAGGAGUCCAGACCCCCAGCCCCCCCUCCCUCAGAAAAGGAGUCCAGACCCCCAACCCCUCCCCCAUCAGAUCCAGGAGUUCGGGUCCUCAGUUACCUCCUCCCUCAGACCUAGUUUCUCUUGGCCCGGGGCUUCCUUGCCCCUCAACUCACCAUAGAUAGACUUGGCACUCCGUUUGGGAGAAGCUUCUGGACUAGUGAAGGAAAAGAGGGGUGAGAGGGGCCAUGGGAAUUGGGGGCAGAUCAUGGGAGUUUUGAGUGCCCAGCAGAGCUUGUGAGGGCGGUGGGGAGCCAUGGAGGGUUUUGAGCAGGGGAGGGCAGGGCCAGAGCUGGACUUUAACGAGACAAGUAUGGCAGUGGUGCUGGCUCGUGGUGGCGAGUGUGGUCUCUACUGUCACACAGACCUGGGUUCGAAUCCCCUGUCAGCUACUGCUUUGUCAUGAGACCCCGGGUGGGAGACGAUCUCUCCUGCUUCAGUUUGCCUUUCCAUAAGACAGGGGUUGGUUACCCUAUAGUGUCUGUUGGGUGAAUUCAAUGAGAUGAUGCAGUUGGAAUGUUGUGCAGCCUUAGUAACUGUUAUUAUCAUCAUUAAGAUGAUGCAAAGCGCUUAACACACAGUAGUUGCUCAAUAAAUGGGAUUUUUUUUUUUU
rnacentral:lncRNA from 1 species